UGCUGGGGGGCUGGCCUGGGGCCAAUGAGUGCGGUCAGACCACUUUACAUUUGUGUAGAACCUCAUGCUUUUCCAAGUAGACUCACGGGUACAGUAUUGUAUUUGGUCCUCACCACAGCCGCAUGAAGUAGAAGGACAUUCUCCCACCUUAUAGCUGGAGAAACUGAGGCAUACACUAGCCACAUGAUCUGGGGCCAUGGUCAUUCAAGUUGGUGGCAGUUUAUUAUUUCCCUAUUUUUUUAAACAGUGACCUGGAAAACAUCCUUGCAUUUUAGGUUCACCUGAGGUUCACAGUGCAACUGGCUUAGUGGCCUUUGAAGAAAUGACACAUGCUAUAAAUUAGCAGAGGAGUUUGUCUCCUGGGGAAAAUAUGCUUGCUUCCCAUGACUGGAUGAUGCAAGUUAUGAAACUUGAUGUGUUUCUCUUUUUACCAUGGCUGCCAGGAAACUCAAGAGUAAGAUUUAAUUGCAGAAUUUGGGGAAUUAACAUCAGAUAGAUGUAGGGAGUGAUACUUCAUCCUGCCCUUUGACUUUCUUUUUU